rnacentral:rRNA from 1 species
CACCGUAUUCUGUACGGUAUCCUUAUCUGAAUACAUAGGAUAAGCGAAGCGAACCCGGAGAACUGAACCAUCUAAGUACCCGGAGGAAAAGAAAUCAACCGAGAUUCCGUAAGUAGUGGCGAGCGAACGCGGAGGAGCCUGUAUAUAAUAACCGAUAUGCUAGAAGAACAAGCUGGGAAGCUUGGCCAUAGUGGGUGACAGCCCCGUAUUCGAAAGCAAAUUGGUGGUACUAAGUAUACGAAAAGUAGGGCGGGACACGUGGAAUCCUGUCCGAAGAUGGGGGGACCAUCCUCCAAGGCUAAAUACUCAUCAUCGACCGAUAGUGAACCAGUACCGUGAGGGAAAGGCGAAAAGAACCCCGGGAGGGGAGUGAAAUAGAACCUGAAACCUGAUGCAUACAAACAGUGGGAGCCUAUUAAUUGGGUGACUGCGUACCUUUUGUAUAAUGGGUCAACGACUUACAUUCAGUAGCGAGCUUAACCGGAUAGGGGAGGCGUAGGGAAACCGAGUCUUAAUAGGGCGCUGAGUUGCUGGGUGUAGACCCGAAACCGAGUGAUCUAUCCAUGGCCAGGAUGAAGGUGCCGUAACAGGUACUGGAGGUCCGAACCCACGCAUGUUGCAAAAUGCGGGGAUGAGCUGUGGAUAGGGGUGAAAGGCUAAACAAACUCGGAGAUAGCUGGUUCUCCCCGAAAACUAUUUAGGUAGUGCCUCAUGUAUCACUUCCGGGGGUAAAGCACUGUUAUGGCUAGGGGGUCAUUGCGACUUACCAACCCAUGGCAAACUAAGAAUACCGGAAAGUGCAAUCAUGGGAGACAGACAGCGGGUGCUAACGUCCGUUGUCGAGAGGGAAACAACCCAGACCGCCAGCUAAGGUCCCAAAUGAUAGAUUAAGUGGUAAACGAAGUGGGAAGGCCCAGACAGCCAGGAUGUUGGCUUAGAAGCAGCCAUCAUUUAAAGAAAGCGUAAUAGCUCACUGGUCGAGUCGUCCUGCGCGGAAGAUGUAACGGGGCUCAAAUCUAUAACCGAAGCUGCGGAUGCACCUAGUGCAUGGUAGGGGAGCGUUCUGUAGGCCGAUGAAGGUGACUUGAGAAGGUUGCUGGAGGUAUCAGAAGUGCGAAUGUUGACAUGAGUAGCGAUAAAGCGGGUGAAAAGCCCGCUCGCCGAAAGCCCAAGGUUUCCUACGCAACGUUCAUCGGCGUAGGGUGAGUCGGCCCCUAAGGCGAGGCAGAAAUGCGUAGUCGAUGGGAAACGGGUUAAUAUUCCCGUACUUUGAUUUAGUGCGAUGUGGGGACGGAGAAGGUUAGGUUAGCAAGCUGUUGGAAUAGCUUGUUUAAGCCGGUAGGUGGAAGACUUAGGCAAAUCCGGGUCUUCUUAACACCGAGAAGUGAUGACGAGUGUCUACGGACAUGAAGUAACCGAUACCACGCUUCCAGGAAAAGCCACUAAGCUUCAGCUAAAUCAGAACCGUACCGCAAACCGACACAGGUGGGCAGGAUGAGAAUUCUAAGGCGCUUGAGAGAACUCGGGAGAAGGAACUCGGCAAAUUGAUACCGUAACUUCGGGAGAAGGUAUGCCCUUCGAUGUGAAAGACUUGCUCUGUAAGCAUUGGAGGGUCGCAGAGAAUCGGUGGCUGCGACUGUUUAUUAAAAACACAGCACUCUGCUAACACGAAAGUGGACGUAUAGGGUGUGACGCCUGCCCGGUGCUGGAAGGUUAAUUGAAGAUGUGCAAGCAUCGGAUCGAAGCCCCAGUAAACGGCGGCCGUAACUAUAACGGUCCUAAGGUAGCGAAAUUCCUUGUCGGGUAAGUUCCGACCCGCACGAAUGGCGUAACGAUGGCCACACUGUCUCCUCCCGAGACUCAGCGAAGUUGAAAUGGUUGUGAAGAUGCAAUCUCCCCGCUGCUAGACGGAAAGACCCCGUGAACCUUUACUGUAGCUUUGCAUUGGACUUUGAAGUCACUUGUGUAGGAUAGGUGGGAGGCUUAGAAGCAGAGACGCCAGUUUCUGUGGAGCCGUCCUUGAAAUACCACCCUGGUGUCUUUGAGGUUCUAACCCAGGUCCGUCAUCCGGAUCGGGGACCGUGCAUGGUAGGC